rnacentral:rRNA from 1 species
UCGACCUGAGAUCAGGCAAGAUUACCCGCUGAACUUAAGCAUAUCAAUAAGCGGAGGAA